ACCUGCUCAUUUGCAUAUAUGGGAAAAUACCGUGUUCCCGCUAGCGCACUGUGACUUUUGGCCUUUGACACCACAAAUCAUGACGUAUAGUCACAUGCAACCAUUUGCAAUGGGAACAACGUUGCUACAGGGUAGCGAACAGAGUCUUGCGAGAAUUGGUUGAGUCUUUAGCACCUCUAAGCCGCGAGAAUGCAGAAAUUACGAAGAAAACUGGCUGGUCUCUCUUCGGAUGUGUAUUAAAGAGCCUGACUAGUUAAAGGGAACCCUGUACUGCUGUUGCCAAUAUUAACGAGGGAGACUUCAGUUUGCAAAACGCACACCAUCCUGUCUCCCUGGAUGCACCUGUAGCAGAUGGGUUUCCAGUGUGGACUUGAGCCGUCUCACCGCAUCCGGGAUGGAGCUGGUUGAUCGGUUGAUCCGAUUGAAAACGGCAUGGACCUGUUCCACCCCUUGCUCCCCAUGAAAACCCAACCCAACCCCCCACACCUUAUCCAGGGUAUGACAUGUUCUUCCAAGAGGUGCAUCUUGACGGAUACAGACGAGGCACUGGACUGAUGCAGCUGGCAGCAGCUUGACAGUGAGACAGUUGUCACCGUCCUUUGCAGUGAAGGGCAGCAGUUCACUAACCACUCCAUGUGGGCUGAGGAGUUCGCCUGCAAUCCUUCUCGACUCCUUUUCAGACUCAACAGAGAUGCCAUAUUGAACCAGCCAUCUGGAAUAGGGUUAUGCUCAGGUCUGUUUUUGCUGACAGGAGACUGGCUGCUGGAAUACGGAUCUUGUCCAGCUUGACAGCUUUUAAUGCAGCCUGUAAGUCUUCACGAGGAUACUGUUUGGCCAUCACAGGAGGCAGCUAAUUGUCUCCUUAUGAGAGACAACAGAAGCUCAUUCUCCCACGCUUGUAUGGCCGGCCCUGCACUUGUCAAGGAAUCCUGAAGCCCACAAAACCAGAUCUACAAGUGCCUUUUGCAUCUACUCAAAGGAAAGGUGUGGAAGAAGUUUCCUGGACCAGAUUGCUAUGAUCAGCCAUCAUACUGUUUCGGUCUACAUUCUGAGCAAUACAUGUUAUGUUUAUGGGUAGUUUAUUCAUAUUAGAUGUAACAAAGCAUACCACCUUUAUUAAGGUUCAACAUCAUGGAAUGGAUCAAAUUUUCUAUGGACUGAGGUGUUAAGUUUAAGAGUUCCUACUUGAAUUCAUAGAGCUCACUUGAAAGUUUUUGCAAGGAUUAUAGAAGGUGAUAUUCAGUUGUUGUUUAAUUUAACAUUUAUAAACAAGGUGUCAAAGAUGAGAAGAACCAAGGUAUAAAGUUGUUCUGGUAUGAAUAAUCAUUGUCAUUG